AUUUUUAAGCCAAAUUAUUGCUUACGAUUACUUAAAAAUUACAAUUCAUAAAUUAACAACUGAUUUGAUACUGCAAUUUAAAAGAAGCACCGAAAAAAUCUUACUUCUAAAACCUUAUUUUAAAAAGUAACCCAAAAAAGGUUAAGAUAAGCAUACGAAUGAUUCAAUAUCUCGAACAAAAGCUCGAAGAAAAUUUCGUGUUCAUCGUUGAAAGCAGACUAUAAAACGUUAAACCAGUUAAACUCGUAAAAUCCUAGACUUAACACGGAUUACGGUGUAUCUAUUAUAUCCGUACUUGUAUCACGAUAAAUGACGUCGAUAAUGGUGAAAGCUUGUCCCGGCUUUGAUAUUUAUUACACGCCGUGAUGUUAGUUGUCUUCCUGCAAAUCCUGAGAACCGAUGAGCAAAUAUAUACGUAUAUUUUAGUUGACUUUUUGCUCUCGGACGAUCGUCCGGGGACGCAUGUUGUCAAAUAUUCCGGGUAGCGCCCCUCGAGGCCUGUUUCUCUUCGAGACUUGACUUUGGAUUCAUCUCUCGACCGCCUUGUUUCCUUCCAUCCCCGAAGAAGAACUUUCGCGACAGCCAUCCUCAACUGUGGCGACAGCUCUUUUGAUCGGGCGAGACUGGAUAUUUGAAAUAUAUCGAAUAAUUUGCUAUAAGAUUCGACUGUGUUAAAUAACACGUGUUACAGGCACGACCAUGGAAACAACAAUACCCGCUGCUUUCAAUAUAAUCUACACCUGCUGCUGCAUCCCGUGCAACCUAGAGAUUACACGAAACUUUAAAUGCGUUCGUGUGAUACACAGAUUUAUCGUGAUCGUGGUGUGAUACUAUUUCUUUUUUUUUUUUUUUUGGUAUCCGGGAAACGGGGAUGAUUAAAACGUUGGUAUUCAUAAUUCAAACUCGGGAGAAAAUUCUAUGAAUUUUUAUUACGACGCUCGUGAAUCGAGGCGAAUAUCGCGUACUGACCGUUGUUAAAUGAAGAAACCAGAGAUGUAUCGCUCUUUGGACGUCUUGAAUGUGUCUUUUCACAUGUUUGUCCCCGAUUUUUCAUUUUUUUUCAAAGUUUCUUUUUUUUGUAUGCGUUAUUUUGGUUGUUAAAUUAUUAACAAAGAAACAGUGGCUCGACGUAUUCAACGUUAACGACACGUUUGAUAAGCGAUUGUGCGUGCGUCGUUUUUAUUAAUAACUUGUCAAGAAAGUUGAAACGAAAGUUUCUGAAAGGAAAAUGUUGCUCGAAAUUAUCCCAGAAGUCUCCAAUUAAUCGAUGUUACCACAUUUUUGAAACAUCCUAUAUAUACGUAUCUCUUACAUUCGUUAGGGAAUCGAAUACCAACAGACAAAUAUUUCUUAUUGUAUCUUUGAGUAAAAUAAAUCUAAUUCUAAAUUAGGGCGAGUUUUGAAACAACGAAGAGAUGAAAAGAAAAAGAAAACGAUAUAUAUUUCUCCUGUUUCUAAUCGUUUCGUUUCUCUGUCAUUCAUUUAUCUCUUUCUAUUUCGUUACAAAGAGAAAGAAUUCUUACAAUUAUUUUGUUCUUCUAAUUGAUACAAAAUAUGAAAAAUUUUUCACAACAUCUUUAUUGGAAAAAUAUUACUGAAUAAUAUUGUGAUAAUUGUUUAUUAAUUUAUGCCAAGCUGAUGCGAAAUUAUAUCUAACGCAAUGAGACGAAAAUAAUGCCUCCUUAUCGUAACGUAAUAUUUUAUAAUGGCACGAGCUUUUGUAUAUUGUACCACGUUGCACUUUAUCGCGUCGUCCUUUUAACCAUCGUAACAAAGAUAUAAUUUUGUGGGACAUAAAUUUUCAUAGUCAUAAAUUAUCUCUAAACGCGGUUAACAAGUACCAAGAGGUAACGAGUUUAUCCGAAAGUGAAGUACGACUGCAUCGGGUGGAAUGGAAUAGCGGUAUUAGUGAAUUAUGGUCAUUUAACAUUUAGUAAUUUCAUAAAUCUUAUAUUAAUAGCGAUGGAAUUAAUUCGAGAUAGAAUAACCCGCGAUAUCAAUCUAAAGUAUCGUUAACACAUGAAAACAAAUUCAAUUUUAAUUUUGCAGUCCUUUUUUGCAUUUAUCAAGUUUCAUCUUUACUUUAUGCAUUUUCGUCUGUACAUUUGUUUAUUUUUAACCAUCUCUCAAGAAUUUCUUUAUCUUACGAUUCGUUCAAUGAUGACAUUGCAACUUGUACGAUUUGUCAAUAAUUAUAAAAUCUUCAAUUUUUAUGAUAAUAAAACUUAGAAUUAUGAUAAAAUGAUCAAUAUGAUGUCGUAGUUUUAAAAAAAUAAUGACACAAUUAUAAAAAGGAAAUUUUUAAAAAGAUUAUUGCGAUUGAAAUAAAAAUAUUUAAGAUAUCAAGAUAUAAGAAGACGCUAUAUCAAAGCAUUAAUCUAAUCUAACCAUAUUAACACAAUUAUAAUUCAAAUUAAGAAAAAAAAACCAAAGCCUAGGAUAAAUUUAAGAUUAAUUUAAGCCUAAGAUAUAAAGAAUAUUCACGUUGCAUGCAUCCAAGCAAAUCCUACUUAACUUUAUUAUACUACAAUAUAAUGGACAAAUUAAUUUCAAACAUGAAAAAUUCAAAAAAAUUAAUUCAUUUUCCGUUCUAAUUCCAUAUCAAAGAAAAAGAAAAUCGAAAAAUUUAAAUUCAAAGAUACGAUCAAGAUAUAAAGUACAUUCACGUUAGCAUGCGUCGAAGCACUAACGCAACGAUUUGAUCGAUAUUUCUCAAACUAAAAAUUCAAAAAACCAUUCAUUUUCCAUUCUACAUGCCAGAUAAACGUUGCAUGCAUCAUCAACCACACUUAAUUUUACAUUUCUUAAAUCCCUGAAUCCUCGAAUUCUUGAAAACGGAAAAAUCCCAAAAAUUUCAUUCUACAUGAAAUUCGAAUAAAGAACAAAUUUCGCAUGCACACUGAACUCCACUUAACUUCUCUAUACAACGAUCGGAUGAUCGAUCAGGAAAGGAGAGAGGGAGCGAUUCGGUCAGCGUUUAAUUCGUAAUUCGAGAGUUUCUCAGAGGGUACGCUCGCACGUGUACAUUCACGCGUGUGAGCGCGAAUUUCUGCGGCAAUGCACGGGCACAGUAUGCGAUGCAGGCGCCUCCACUCAAGGGCCGAGGGUGGAGAACCUCGGCGUGAACAUUAUGCGGUGCACCUCGCGUUUAGCUUGAUAAAUGGCGGCGGAGCAGGGCGUUGAAUGCCGGCGUUGUUGCACUCGCCGUCACGUCUUUGCUCUUCUUCCCUCUAUUUUUCUCUCUCCUCCCCUCUCUUUCUCUCUGUCGUGUUAUUUUUUUCACCUCAUUUCUCCCUACCACCUUCCCUUUCGCGAUGAAAUCGUCUUGAUUUCUUCCAGGGUGGAAAGAAUCCUGUUUUUGACAAUCGUGUGUAACCAAUUGGCGUUAUUUGAUACAGAGAGAAAAUCGAAAACUGGAAACAGUAAUUAUAAUUUUUCUCGAGAUCCUCGUUCGAGUUAUGGCUACGGAAAACGAGAUUAUACUCACACGGGAGGGAGGGAGCGUUUUUACGUGUAAUCGGGGUUGUUGCAGCCCGGGAAAAGUUUUUUAAUCACGUUUACCCGAUAGUAGAUAUUACUUUGGUUACUGUUAGCCAGGAUUAAAGCAUUUGCUUUGGUUCCCGUUCAUUUGUUAUUCAUAGCUUUCUUGAUCCCUCCCUCCUUUUCAUAUCUUGUUUCUCUUAAAUUUUUUAUUAAUCGUAUAUCUAUUUAUCAGAUACUGGAUAUUAUAUAAAUACGAUUCGAAUUCAUUAACGAAAUUUCGUAUAAUCAAUAAUAUCCAAGUGUUAAUUUGAUCAUUAAUUUUGUUUCGAGAUUAUAAUCUCCCUUAAUCUUUGGUUAAAUUUGUAUUAAAAAGAUCGUAUUAAGAAAAUUUAAGUUUUCGUAAUACAUAGUUUGGUAGAAAACCGACUAAACGUUCCCCUCAGUUUUGACGAUAAAAAGAAUCGAUCGUUUUAUUGAGGCUUCUUCACCUAUUAAACCGUCAUUAAAUUUAAUGUAUUCGCUUAAAGAGAUAUUUGCAUCCAAUUUAUUAUUCCACGCUCAUGUUACAAACGAUCUCCACGAGCGUACUAAAGGAACGUUAUCCCAAUUUAUUUUGCAUUUUUAUGAAAUUUACGGUUAAUCGUUCGUUUCUGCCAUUGCAAUAAGAAAGAGCUUACUAAAUAUCAAUACAAAGCCCGCAGUGUAUAAAUGUAAAAGUAUUGGAGAUUUAUUAUCGGCUCGGAUUCUAUAUAUGUUGUUACACAUUAUUCCUUAUUUUCUGCAACAAUAAUAAUAUUAACACAAAAAUUAAAACGUCUAAAUUUGCUUAAACGUGUUUUCAAUCUUUAUAAAAAUGAAAUUGAAAGUUCAAUUUAAAAAUUCUCGUAUAGUAAAAUUGUGCUAGUAUAUAUAUAAAAAUAUAAAGAAGAACGUUUUUCCAUAUUAAUAAUCAAAAUAUUGUAAACUUUAGUUGCAGUAUUAAAUUUUAAAUAUGUAUAUAUAUCUUUAAACAGCAAUGGAAAAUUAAAAUCAUUGAUUUAACGUGGAAGAAAUCUCUUCAAUUUCUCAAAUAUUUGUUAAUAUUUAAUGUUGUUCCAUAUUAUUGAUAUGUGUGGAUAAGAAGUCUUACAAUCUUUCUAAAAAUGAUGAAAUAUAGAAUUAUAGAAAUAUAAUUGCAACAAUAGCUAUAUUGUAUAUUCUAUAUCAAUAUUUCCUUUCAAAUAUUGUUUAUUAUUGUUGGCAGUGAAUCGAUUGAAUUUAUAAGUAUAUUAUAGAAUAUAUAGUUACAAAAAUUUAAUCCUUUUGAAUUUUUAUUUUUAAAAAAUUGUUUUUAUUUUUAAUGAAACUUUAUAUAGAGUAUAAUGGAUUACGUAUGAUAAUUCUUUUCUUGUUUCUUCGGAACGUCAUUUCAAGAAAAUGAAAUCAACGUUCAAAGUUUUAUCUUUUCAUUGUUUUUAAUAUAAUUUUAUGAUAGAGCAAAAUUUUAAAAAGAUUUAAUUUUUAAUACUCAAUCUAUCUAUUGUAAAAAAUAGAAAUUGUUUCCAAAAUUAAAAAAAAUAUUAAAACUUUUUGAAAAUUAAUUUCAUUUUUUCAAAAAAAUUUUCUGUUCCACAAAGAGAUAUUUCAUAUAUAAUCCAUUAUGCUCUCUAUAUACACACAAAUUUUUAAAAUCAGAAUUUUCGAUAAAACGAAUUUCCUUGUAAUAUAGAACAUGAAUAUUUCCGUCAUCGAUUGUAAAUUUAUUAGGAUUUAAAAAUUAUUAAAACAGAUUUUUAUGAUCGUAUUUAUUUUUAUUUACACGAAAAAAUGAUCAAUCGUUUAUCUCGAUUAAAGCGUUACACAUUUCAGAAGCCAAAAAAAAUUGUUUUAAUUCGAUAUUGAUAUUUAAUUUGAAACAAAUUUUGUUUUCAAUUUUUAACAAAAGUUUAAUUUUUACAUAAAAUUUUAAAAUAAAAUUCUAAAAUUUUCACUUUUAUUUCAACAAAAUUGUUGUUUUCGAAAAUGAAUUCCAUUUAAAAAUUGAAUAAAAAUCCAUGGUUAGUUAAACAUUUCAUCAGUUGCUCGACAACAUUUUUUGAUAUAAAUUUUACUAUGUGAAGAUUUAAACAAAUUUUUUUAUUAUUAGAAACUACAUCCCAUGAAUGGCGUGAAUUAUGACGGAUGCUAUUAUACCGAAUUCUAUUUCGAAGUAGAACUUUUGCCAAGCGAUGAUGAAUAGCCUCGUGAAAAGAGCAAAUUACGAAAGUUAAUUCGACCGCGUUGCAUCCUGUUCGUUUUGCCAAUCGAUUAGACAAAUAGUUCACAGUAGUUUUUAAAUGUCUCUUAUAUCUUCCAUCGAUUCCAUUUCAUUUUCUUUCGACCUUUUAUCUCCUUGAUUGCUUUUCUUCUUUUUUUCUCCAAUUUUUAAAAAGUUAUUAUUUUUCAUUUCAUGCGACGAUGAACAACUUUUGCGACAUAAUCAACGAUUUUUUUUUCAAUUAGGAACGAGGAAAAUUCGCUUUUUCAUUUUCGAUUAGUUUGUAAUUCGUUAUUUCUAGAUGCGCGUUGUAAUCGAAUUUUAAAAUAGAUUAUUUGGAAACCAUCGUUGGGAUUGAUUAUGAAAAAUGAAAAAAAAAAAAAAAGAAAAGAAAA